CAAAAGGGGUGCCAUGGUAACACCCGGAGGCUGGGUGGACAAGCAUCCAGUGGCUUUGGUUCCUAUAGGAUCAUCCUGACUGAUCAGUAAAUCAAGGGGGCUGUAAAAACUGGAUUGUAAAGGCCAGAGUACAGCGCAUGUGCAGAAGUUGCACCCGCAAAAUGAAGAGCCGUGGAGUGGGGCUAUGGCCGACUCAGCUGCUGGAGAACUAAAGUGUACCAGAGAAGCAGGAAGGGGAUGGCGGAAAGGCCCAGAAGUCAGGUUGUCUGUCAUAUUUAGCCUGAGAAAUAUGAGUGGCUGAGGAGGCACACCACUCAAAGCAAAGGCAGGGCUCGGAUGCUGUUGAAGACCACAUCUGUAUCACCCCCUCUGCAAGAGUCGGGUCGAAGCACAUCUUGACUUACAGAUGGACAGACAGACACACAGGGACAAGGCACCUGCUGGAGCAGGGUAUGGCAGGCUGGGGCUGGGGCUGGGGCCACCUCAGUGACUAUAAUAAAACCUCUUGUUCUGUUAAGUGGA